CCUUCUUGCCUCCCAGCUCUUACUUCAUCUCUGGUCAUAACAUGUUUUUCUACCUUGCAGUGUCAUGGACUUUCUGUGGAAGGUUUUGUUCUUCCUUCUUCAACCACAAGGGAGAUGACCCCAGGCGAGAUUAAAUUCUCUGUCCAUGUGGAGUCUGUCCUGAAUCGUGUACCUCAACCAGAGUACCGCCAGCUUCUGGUUGAAGCUAUCCUUGUCCUUACCAUGCUGGCAGAUAUUGAAAUUCAUAGCAUCGGAAGCAUCAUUGCUGUGGAAAAAAUAGUACACAUUGCCAAUGACUUGUUCCUUCAAGAACAGAAAACCCUUGGCGCAGAUGACGUCAUGUUGGCAAAGGAUCCUGCAUCUGGCAUCUGUACUCUUCUGUAUGACAGCGCACCCAGUGGCAGAUUUGGCACAAUGACCUACCUCUCCAAGGCAGCUGCUACCUACGUGCAGGAGUUUCUGCCACACAGCCUCUGUGCCAUGCAGUGAGGGCUGUGGGUUCUGGCUGCUGGAAUCCUUUCAGCAUCUGGUCCCUGUGUUGGUUGAUUGUGCAUGGAACUGAAAUGUUAACACCUGACCACUCUCCAUCCCUCCCAAGAAGAGAGAACUUUGCUGAUAAUCUCACUACUUUUGAAGAAAAGAACCCUCACUUGGAGACUCACUCCAGUGUAAAGGUUCAACUGGGUCUACAAUCACUAUCCUUGCUUCUUUUAUGGUUCAGAAAUGUCUGCAUGUGUUUUUACUCUGUAGAACUGUUACCAGCUUUGUUUUCUAACUCCUUUUGAGGAACAGGUAUUAAUAAGUUAUUCUGAAGACCUUAUUCUUAUUUCUGGGCUUCCUUUCUUUUUUGUGUAUAUGAGUGGUAGGUCUUAAUUGGGUCAUUAUUUCAAGAGAGUAGAUGCUAAAUUGUUGGAUUUUAUACUGCUGUAAUUUUGAAAUGUCUAUUUUAAGUGCCUUAAGAAACACCAACACCAGAUCAUGGCUUCCUUCUUCACUCGAAGGCUGAUUCAUUUUGAGUGGUGAAAUAGUUUCUUUGUCAAAUAUUGCCUUUUGAUGUUGACCUUUCUAUAUCUGCCCAUGUUGCCUGCUCUGUGGUGAAAUAUUAAAAAGUGUAAGCUCACAUGUAAGUUUAAGGAUUUCUAUGUUAAUACUUGAAGUCACAUUUUAUGAGGACUGAUGCUACCAGGCACAUAUUUGAGGACACAUGGAAUAACCCAGAAAAAAAUGGAGCCAGGAGCCCAAUUCCAGAGAGGAAGGGAAAGGGGAGGUUAUGCAGGUGGUGCUUUACACACAGGGAGUCAAGAGACCACCAGAGGCAAGUAGGUUAAUCCUUGCUGGAGCACAGCCCACAUACAACACAGAGAAUAACUGAAGCCUUGAGCAAAGAGAAACCCAGCAGUCCAGUCGGAGCACCUCUUUCCUGUUCUUUUGUUCUCCACCUCACCUAUUCACACCCCGCCACACUCAAAUCUCUCCUUCUCAUCUCCCUCCUAUCCCAUAUCUGUUCUUCAAUUCUUUCACCUAUGUUUGUUUUCACUUCUCAGUUAUACUACUUAUAUCCUUUAAUCUUGGUAUCUGUGGCCAAAUAUCUAUUCUUAUACAUAUUUCUGUGUGUUUGUAAUGGUUAAAUAAUUGUAUUUUGAGUGUGUCUGUCCAUCUCUACAUUUAAUGGAUUGAAUAACCAUGUGGGUAACAUUGCAAACCAAGCCUGGUCAUACUCAUUGCUAAUCUGAGAACUUGAGAGGCUGAAGCAGGAGGAUCGUGAGUUCAAAGCCAGCCUGGGCUACAAAGCAAGCUCCAGGCAAGCCUCAGUAUGAGACCCUGUCUUGAAACAUUUUAAAGCAUGGGAGCUAUGCAGCUGGCCUCAGAUUGACACACAAAGGAUCGCAAAAAUAUACCUUCCAUCCCAUUCUCUGGUCCCAUGUAUAGGUAGCCUGGCUUAGCAGAGGUUUUCUUUGUUUUCCUUGUUUCUACUCGACUCCUCUUUCCCUCAGAGUUUUAAGGGUUUUCUCCCAGAACAGUAAUGAGUAUGAUGGGGCUAGUGAACUCAAAACAGUCACAGAAUCGGGAACAGUCUUCCAGGCACACUGUCCAAAUGCAGUGAGCUAGCAAACGGGUGGUAGAAGCAAAGGCAGGGUGGCCCCCUUUCCCCUCUCACAGCCAUGGGAACACACAGUGAAUAGCUUUCUGAGUGCAUGGUUUUCCGGUCACUUUUGAGGAGAACAUACAACCUGUUUGUCUCUUCACAGCCUAUAAGUACCCUAGUCACGGGAAACACACCCAGCACUGCUUGUGGGAACUGCCGCUCCUUCCUGGACCUCUUUUCUUGAACUGACUCCAAUGCCUGCAGUUCUCUGGAGUUUCUGACUUGUCUGUUGAUGGAAAGCCCAGGCAGUGGCAUUUAAUUUCUAAAGUAACUUUCCAGAAAACAUUACUGGUAUUUUGUUCUUUUUUUCUUUUGUUCUUAUUUUUUCGAGACAGGGUUUUUCUAUGUAGCUCUUCAUGUCCUGGAACUCACUCUGUAGACCAGGCUGGUCUCGAACUCACAGAGAUCCGCCUGCCUCUGCCUCCCGAGUGCUGGGAUUAAAGGCGUGCGCCACCACUACCUGGCUAAGUAUUUUGUUCAUUUUAAGAGUGUUAAUAUGAAGAAAGAAACAUGAUGGAACUUUUUACAAGCACUUUAUGUUUUGAAGUUAGAAUAAAGAAUAAGAAUUUACUGUG